rnacentral:rRNA from 1 species
GAUGAACGCUGGCGGCGUGCUUAACACAUGCAAGUCGAACGAAGCACUUUAUUUUAUUUCCUUCGCUACUGAUUAUUUUGUGACUGAGUGACGGACGUGUGAUUUCCGCGUGUUUAACCUGCCUUGUACAGGCUGAUAACAAUUCCAAACGGCUGCUACUACCGCAUAAUCGCACAGCAUCACUUUCUGCAGUGUGAAAAACUCCCGUGGUAUAACAUGGACCCGCGUUGGAUUAGCUAGUGGGUGAGGUAACGGCCAACCAAGGCGACGAUGCAUAGCCGAGCGGGGAGGGGGACAGGCUACAAUUGGACUGAGACACGGACUAAAAUGCUACGGGAGGGAGCAGUGGGGAAUAUAGCACAAGGGGCGAAAGCGUGAUGAAGCGACGCCGGGUGAGCGAAGAAGUAUGUCGGUAUGUAAAGCUCUAUCAGAAGGGAAGAGAAUGACGGUACCGGACGAAGAAGCACCGGCUAAAUACGUG